rnacentral:rRNA from 1 species
UGAUGGAGUAGAUGUUACACCCGUUCCCAUACCGAACACGAAGGUUAAGCUCUACAUCGCCCAUGGUACUUUGGGGGAAGCCCCACGGAAGAGUAGGACGUUGCCA